UGAAACUGAAACAACACAACAUUCUUAUCAUCGAAACCCAAAUUCCCAGAUUCAUCGAAACUCUCUGAAACUCAUUUCACCGAAACCCUUCUCUCAUCGCACAACUCUGAAAUUCAUUCGCACAGCUUCGAAUUCUAUUUGCACAGCUCAUUCGCUCAUUUCACCGAAACUCUUCUCUCAUCGCAUUGUGAAUUCGAACUCCGAAGAGAAGAAAGAUAAGAAGCUUCUGGAAAAGAAAAACAGAUGAAAUGAUUUCGUAUGAGACGAUCUCUGUCGUCAAUGAGUUCCCUCAUGAUCCUCAUAAUGGAGGAAGUUGAACAAGCUAGUAGAACAACUGUUGUAAGCUGUCAUAGAGUUCUGAGUAUGUUAUCUCAACCAAGAGAUAAGUUCAUCAUAAGAAUUUAAUGGUGGAAACUGGUGAAGCUGUGAAUAGGUUCAAGAAAGUUGUGUCUUUGCUUCAAGAUGGUAUGGGUCAUGCAAGAUUUAGGAAGUUUAGGAAUCAGAAACAAGUUCCUUUUCCUCAAAAUGCCUUCUUGGACAAUCCGGUUUGCAAGAAAUUGAACAACCAUCACACCAAGAAGGUUCACUUUAGUCAAACUACUUAUCCUGAGAAUUCGGGUUAGGAACUUGCAUUGACCGUGCGAAACCUGAACACUUUGUUGGAAUUCAGCUCUAAUGGGAAAAUUCCUCUUCCCCUUGCUCAACAAGCUGCGUCGAGUUAGUCGACUCACUAUUAGUUCUUUCAGCAUCAGCAGCAACAAAGGUUAAUGAUUGAAGACAAACUUGUUUGGAUUGUUUACAUUGUUGUUGCAAUUCUUAAGAUAGAACAAAGCACAGUUUGAGGUGGGUUUGGAAUGGUGUAAUGUGAUGAAAAGAGACGAGAUUGAAAAAGUGGUUAGAAGACUUAUGGUGAAUCAAGAAGGGGAAGAAUUGUGAAUGAUUCUUCCAGUGAUGCAUUAAAUGGCUUGCUACUAAUACUUUGGAACGUGUUGCGCCACUGACACAUGCAGUUGGAAAUAUGUUAAAGAGAGUUUUCGUCAUUGGAUUUUCAAUAGUGGUGUUUGGCAACAAGAUAUCUACACAAACUGGCAUUGGAAAAUAAACAUAUUUUAUAUAUAGUCUUCAAACUCCAACCUACUGUUAUUGUGAAGUAAACAAAGAACUGCAAUUUGAAAAACGUAUCUCCAGUCUGUUUCCAUGGGUGGUCGCGGCGGCUGAACACCCUUCCUCUCUUUAACACAUUUUACAAUGUUUUCGUCAUGAAAAGUUGCAGGUUAUGUGCGCGUGAUAAUUUUGGAGAAAAGUUGUUUAUUAUAUCUUUAUCCAAUAUAUCUCAGCUUGUUUGAUUUGUGUUAUAGAAAGUGCUGCAGAGUAUCCGAAUGUAGUCCAACCUACCUCACUGUUUCUUAAUCCUAGUAAGUUCUGUUAAAAUUAUCUGACUCUACGUCUUGUGGUCACUUUACUUGAGCCACAGUUUAUGAUAUGCCUUUUUAAGAAGUUUGGUAGAUACUAUCUAAAAAAAAGGAUUUAAAAUCAUAUAUUUAGAAUUAGCUUCCAAAAAAGGCUUUUCACUAAUGCUGUAAUAUGUGGUAAUAAUUACUCUCCUCUGUUAACUAAUGAUCAUACCCUGCUAUUGAAUUGAGAUUGGAAUAUGUUUCCAUUAUGAAAAGGAAUCUAGUACUUGUGUAUUUAGUCUUUUCGAGAAUAAUAAACAUGACUUAUUCUUCUACUGUUUAUGUGCACUCACUCUUGGUGAGAUAGCUUAGAAUGCUAUGGUUUAUUUAAAAGGGAAUGUUUUCAAUAGUGCACUCACUUUUUUUUGGACGGUAGCUUUGAAAAUAAACCUCUACAUCCACAAGCAGCCCAGCUAUGGAGCAAUCAAGAAGAUUACAGAAAGAUGGUUCUCAAGUUAUACAAUUCUCCAAGUGCCACUGGUGGAAAAGGAACUUCAUAUUUUUUUGGGGUUUGGUACACAUAGACUAUUAUUUCAAACACAUCAGAACUCCUUGUAGAAAGUUCGUUGAUACAUGAACUGUUCUAUCUUAUUUACAGUUUUUUAUUAGAUAUCUGAUGUCAUGACAUUUUUUCAAGAGUUAAAAUCUGCUGUUUUUUCUUUUUAGUUUUAACAUCAUCUAACAAUUAGUUUCACACGUGCAGUUUUUUUCUCUGUGAGGUUGUUCAGUCAGUGCAGCACAAACUACAAAGUGAAGAAAGAAAAUAGAUUCACUAAUCUCUCUUUAAAAGCUUCGAGUUCUACUUUUAAUGAAUCACUAAUUGAACAGUAUCUUUCUACCUCUUCAUUCAUUUCAUUCACCUAGAAGAUGGACAGUUCACUAAUAGCAGAAGAAGCAACAAGCAAUGGGGAUAGUUCGGGGAAGAGAUCAAGCAAAACCUUGGGGGACAGCCUACUUACAAAUACCUGCCAAUCAAUUCGGAGAUGGGGGUUCUCCAGAUAUUUACCCUGCAUUUAAGCACACCCUCAAAACAAUUUCUAGUGAUUCAGGGAGAUAUGGCAUUAUUGAAUGCGACACUAUGAUACAGGAGGGCAUUGAAAAGACUGUAUGACAAAGGAGCAUACUUGUUUUUGCCAUCAUACGUAAUGAGAAUACAUGGAGCAAAACAGCAACGUGAAGCUGUAAAGAGGGAUCCCAAGAAUCAACUUGACCCUAUUUUUGAGGCACUUAACACUCUUGAUGAUACCAAAUGGAGGGUAAACAAAAGCCUAAUUGGAAGAUUAUCAAGAAACAUGAGCAAAACAAUGGAUGGGCGUGUGGAUAUUAUGUAAUGAAGAACAUGUUUGAUAUUGUUGAUACUUCCAUUGUUGAAAGAUUCGAUGAGGUAGUAUAAUUUGCAGACACGUCACCCUAUGAAAAAGAGACAAUCGACCAUAUUCGGCAACUUUGGUCUCAAGUAUUUUUGCAAAUGGUUGAAAAUCAAAAGGUUGAGGAGCAAAAUCUAUCAGAUCAAAUGCAAAUGGUUGAAGAGGAUAAAGAGAUAGAAAUGUUGCCAAAACAAAAGCCAAAGAAGAAGAAGAAAACUUAUAUAUGAAGAAAGUGUUAUGACUUAGUUAAAAUAUAAUUUUUAUGUGUAUGAUUUUAUAGUACUUGAAAUAUUAUG